rnacentral:rRNA from 1 species
UACGUAGGGUGCAGGCGUUAAUCGGAAUUACUGGGCGUAAAGCGUGCGCAGGCGGUUUGCUAAGACAGGUGUGAAAUCCCCCGGGCUUAACCUGGGAACUGCGCUUGUAACUGGCAAGCUUGAGUGUGGCAGAGGGGGGGUGGAAUUCCACGUGUAGCAGUGAAAUGCGUAGAGAUGUGGAGGAACACCGAUGGCGAAGGCAGCCCCCCUGGGCUAACACUGACGCUCAUGCACGAAAGCGUGGGGAGCAAACAGG